UCGAUUUGAAGGUCGUGGUCUUUGAACUGUGGCUUUCGUAGCUAACGCGUUAAAUUGACCGCCUGGGGAGUACGGCCGCAAGGUUAAAACUCAAAUGAAUUGACGGGGGCCCGCACAAGCGGUGGAGCAUGUGGUUUAAUUCGAUGCAACGCGAAGAACCUUACCUACUCUUGACAUCCAGAGAACUAUGUAGAGAUAUGUGGGUGCCUUCGGGAACUCUGAGACAGGUGCUGCAUGGCUGUCGUCAGCUCGUGUUGUGAAAUGUUGGGUUAAGUCCCGCAACGAGCGCAACCCUUAUCCUUUGUUGCCAGCGAUUAGGUCGGGAACUCAAAGGAGACUGCCGAUGAUAAAUCGGAGGAAGGUGAGGAUGACGUCAAGUCAUCAUGGCCCUUACGAGUAGGGCUACAAACGUGCUACAAUGGCAUAUACAAAGAGAAGCAAUCUUGUAAAAGUUAGCAAAUCUCAUAAAGUAUGUCUAAGUCCGGAUUGGAGUCUGCAACUCGACUCUAUGAAGUCGGAAUCGCUAGUAAUCGUGUAUCAGAAUGUCACGGUGAAUACGUUCCCGGGCC
rnacentral:rRNA from 1 species